rnacentral:rRNA from 1 species
UCGGGAAUUUUGGUCAAUGGAGGCAACUCUGAACCAGCCAUGCCGCGUGCAGGAAGAAGGCCCUAUGGGUCGUAAACUGCUUUUGAACAAGAGAAAACCCCGGUACGUGUACUGGGUUGAUAGUAUUGUUAGAAUAAGCAUCGGCUAACUUCGUGCCAGCAGCCGCGGUAAGACGAAGGAUGCAAGCGUUAUCCGGAUUCAUUGGGUUUAAAGGGUGCGUAGGCGGACUGAUAAGUCAGUGGUGAAAUCUCUCGGCUUAACCGAGAAACUGCCAUUGAUACUGUUAGUCUAGAGUACAGAUGAUGUGGGCGGAAUAUGACAUGUAGUGGUGAAAUACUUAGAUAUGUCAUAGAACACCGAUUGCGAAGGCAGCUCACAAAACUGUAACUGACGCUGAGGCACGAAAGUGCGGGGAUCAAACAGGAUUAGAUACCCACGUAGUCCCUGAGCGGGCUGGCAAGGCGCAU